rnacentral:rRNA from 1 species
CCUACGGGAGGCAGCAGUGGGGAAUAUUGGACAAUGGGGGCAACCCUGAUCCAGCCAUGCCGCGUGUGUGAAGAAGGCCCUCGGGUUGUAAAGCACUUUCAGUGAGGAAGAACGCCUGGUGGUUAAUACCCAUCAGGAAAGACAUCACUCACAGAAGAAGCACCGGCUAACUCCGUGCCAGCAGCCGCGGUAAUACGGAGGGUGCGAGCGUUAAUCGGAAUUACGGGGCGUAAAGCGCGCGUAGGUGGCUUGAUAAGCCGGUUGUGAAAGCCCCGGGCUCAACCUGGGAACGGCAUCCGGAACUGUCAAGCUAGAGUGCAGGAGAGGAAGGUAGAAUUCCCGGUGUAGCGGUGAAAUGCGUAGAGAUCGGGAGGAAUACCAGUGGCGAAGGCGGCCUUCUGGACUGACACUGACACUGAGGUGCGAAAGCGUGGGUAGCAAACAGGAUUAGAUACCCUAGUAGUC